UAUUUGCUAGCAGUGGGUUUGAGCUGUUAUAAAUGGUAUCAAAGCCAAACAUCAGGCCGUGUGCUAGCAAGGAUGUUGGCCCCCAAGAGGGUAGAUUUUGAGAUCCCACAUUGGUUGGAGAGGGGAAUGAAACAUUUUUUUAUAAGGGUAUGGAAAUCUUACCCUAGUAGAUAUGUUUUAAAACCCUGAGGCUGACAGUGAUAUGUAACGGACUAAAGCGGACAAUA